ensembl:lncRNA
GCUGGCAAAGGGGUGGAGAGAAGAAAGUCGGGGUUGCUGAGGGAGACAGCCAUUGCUCAGGCUGGCUGAAGGGGCAGCUCCUUCAGUAGAACUGUGGGAUAUGGGGUAUACACAGAGACUGACAGCUACAGGUCCUCUCAAGUUCUGUUCUCUCAUCCACACUAAUAGAAGGUUUAGCCAAGCACUUGGCUGCCCAGCCAGAUAGGUCCUUUGCUGUUAGGUAUGGUCAUGUGACUGGGUUUUGGCCAAUAGAAUGAACGGAAGAAGUGGAGCAAGGCGGGCUGCACUCCACGGGGUCGCAAAGAGUCUGACAUUGAACAACAACAAAAGCAGGGGUUCUUAACUAGGGGNNNNNNNNNNNNNNNNNNNNNNNNNNNNNNNNNNNNNNNNNNNNNNNNNNNNNNNNNNNNNNNNNNNNNNNNNNNNNNNNNNNNNNNNNNNNNNNNNNNAAAGAGUCUGACAUAGCAAUUGAACAACAACAAAAGCAGGGGUUCUUAACUAGGGGCGGUUUUCUGCCCCAGGAGAUACUUGACAAUGCCUGGAGAAAUUUUUGGCUGUCGCAAGUUGAGGCUGAGGAGAUAGAGUCAUGCUACCGGAGGCUGAGCUACCGACAAGCAGCUGCCAGCCCCUGGAUAUUUCUAGCACCUUCUUGCAGACCCCAUUGGAAGCCUUUGAGGAACUGUGUGAAUAUAACCUGUGCUGCUGGCUUCUACCCUGAGCAGUGAUCGGAUCCUGCAGUGCCGGAGCCUCUGAUUAAAUAAACAACCCAUAAUUAAUGUUGUGUUUCCUUUCAUUCUCUACCUAUAAUUGUGACUCUUUCCCAAAGCUGGGGAGGGAGUGAGGAGUGCGUGGUGGGUUGUUGGGAUACACACUGGCCCAUCAGCAAGCAGAAUGAACAAUACAUGGAAAGAACUGCUGGGUCUCAGCUGUCUUUUCCACCACUAGGGAGUCAAGUGCUACGGGCCAUUUUUCAAUUAGGGCUAAAUGACAAAAGGUGGCCCAUGUACCAUCAUUGGCAUCAUCAGGGCUUGUCACACACACUCUCCUGCUAAGAUCCCCUGGAGAAGGAAAUGGCAACUCACUCCUGUAUUCCUGCCUGGGAAAUCCCAUGGACAGGGGAGCCUGGCAGGCUACAAUCCAUAGGGUCACAAAAGAAUCAAACACGACUUGGUGACUAAAGAAUAACAACUAUCCAAUAUAAUAUUGAAUUGGUCAAAAAUUUCAUUCCAUAACAUCUUAUGGAAAAUCCUGAACAAAACUUUGGCCAAUCCAGUACUUUUCAGGGCAGCAACUAACUACAGAAUAGUUAACAGCUGGAACUCUGGAGUCAGACAGACUCAGUUCAAAUCCUAGCUAUGCCAAUUAAGGCCAUGCAACCUUGGACAAGUUUUCUGUUUUUCAGCUUCCUUAUCCAUCAAAUGGGAAUAGUAGGGUAAUUACAUGAAAGAAAUGAGAUUAUACAUGUAAAGAUCUGAGGAGAAUGCAUUUAAUAAAUGCUCACUAUUAACAUUAUUGCAUCUGUAUAUAUUUUACUCUGUACAAUAUUGUCUCACUGAUCACACAAAAAAUACAUGAAAGUGCUUUGAAAAUCUUAAAGCAUCAUAAAUAUUAAAGGUGUCAUUGGUAAUAAUCUCCUAUGACUAUCUCUCAACUCUUCCAUCUCCUUGAAGACCGGGACUACAUCCUUCGUCCCAGGGCAUAUUGCACAAUGACAGGCAAACAACAAGCCCUCAGUAAAUGUUUCCUAUUUGACUGAAGCUACAUGGCAUCGCAAAAAGAGCGUAGGUAUCUGGAGACGAGGCUGGGAUCAAAUGAGUUUAAGGCAGGAGAACCAGUCUGCAGUCAUCAUUCACUCAGUCAACAAAUAUUUGUUGAACACAUUCUACGUGCUAGAUAUUGAGUCCAGAUAAUUUCAUCAAAAAGGGUCUUACAGGGUUCCCACCCAGCCAAGUCCCUGGGCGGUCUCCAUAAUCCCAGCCUACUCUAAAAGCACAAAGGCGCAGCCAGCAUUGUGCACCACUGGAGAAGCGGCCCAUUGCUCUGGGGGAAGCCCCAUCCUGCCUGG